ACAGGGGAUUGCCCUAGUAACGGCGAGUGAAGCGGCAACAGCUCAAAUUUGAAAUCUGGCGUCUUUGGCGUCCGAGUUGUAAUUUGCAGAGGGCGCUUUGGCAUUGGCAGCGGUCCAAGUUCCUUGGAACAGGACGUCACAGAGGGUGAGAAUCCCGUACGUGGUCGCUAGCCUUUACCGUGUAAAGCCCCUUCGACGAGUCGAGUUGUUUGGGAAUGCAGCUCUAAAUGGGAGGUAAAUUUCUUCUAAAGCUAAAUACUGGCCAGAGACCGAUAGCGCACAAGUAGAGUGAUCGAAAGAUGAAAAGCACUUUGGAAAGAGAGUUAAAAAGCACGUGAAAUUGUUGAAAGGGAAGCGCUUGCAGCCAGACUUGCCUGUAGUUGCUCAUCCGGGUUUCUACCCGGUGCACUCUUCUAUAGGCAGGCCAGCAUCAGUUUGGGCGGUUGGAUAAAGGUCUCUGUCAUGUACCUCCUUUCGGGGAGAACUUAUAGGGGAGACGACAUGCAACCAGCCUGGACUGAGGUCCGCGCAUCUGCUAGGAUGCUGGCGUAAUGGCUGUAAGCGGCCCGUCUUGAAACACGGACCAAGGAGUCUAACAUCUAUGCGAGUGUUUGGGUGUCAAGCCCGAGCGCGUAAUGAAAGUGAACGGAGGUGGGAACCUUUCGGGGUGCACCAUCGACCGAUCCUGAUGUCUUCGGAUGGAUUUGAGUAAGAGCAUAGCUGUUGGGACCCGAAAGAUGGUGAACUAUGCUUGAAUAGGGUGAAGCCAGAGGAAACUCUGGUGGAGGCUCGCAGCGGUUCUGACGUGCAAAUCGAUCGUCAAAUUUGGGCAUAGGGGCGAAAGACUAAUCGAACUAUCUAGUAGCUGGUUCCUG
rnacentral:rRNA from 1 species